rnacentral:sRNA from 12 species
UGGCUUGGUCGAAAGAUCUUGGGCCGCCGUAGACGGGGACAUCUCUC